rnacentral:lncRNA from 1 species
GAAUUGCCUAAUCUGGGCCAUUUUUGAGAGUGAGAGGAACAAUUUGUAAUUAUGCUCACGCCAUAGGCAUGAGGCAGACUUUCCCAACAAAUCCAGGCACAUGGUUAGUUACCUUAAAAUGGAGCUAUGCAUGGUGAAUAUUGUCGAAAACAGAUGAGAGGCAAAGCUGUGGUUGGAAAUGGUGACACGGAUCAGGGAAGAUUAGACAGUAAUGUUUACUACUUUCUGUCUUGUAUUACGUUUGUUUAUACACACAUCUUUUUUUUCCACCAGAUUUAAGAAGUUUGAAAGAGGGUUCCAUGUUCUAUUCAUCAUCUAAUUUCCCACAGUGCUCACAAAACAACUUCAUGAAAAGAGCUGGAGUAAUGCAUAUAGCUUCAAGGAUGAAGACCACAGUCCCCAGCCUCCUUAUAACCAACCUGUCUGUUCAAAUCCAUUCUCUUCAAGAAAAUAAGAACAAUAUUUAUGUGUGCAGCUUCCAGCACUUUGAAUGUAUUAUCCCAUUUUUUCCUGAAUGGCCUGAAUUUCUGCUGAGAAAUUCACAGAUUGUUUGAUGGGGUUUCCCUUGUAAGUGACUACAGACUUUUCUUUUGCUGUUUUUCUCUUUGUCUUUGACUUUUGAAAGUUUGGCUAGCAUACGUCAUUUAGAAGGUUCUUUAAAAUUGUAUCUAUUUGGCAAUCUCUGAGCUGCCUACAUCUGGAUGUCUAAAAUCUUGCUAGACUUGAGAAGUUUUCAGCUCUUAUUCCAUUAUAUGGUCUCUGCCAUUUUAAUUUUUUGUUUUAUCUUCUGGGAUACCAAAAUUUUAAAUAUUUGGUUGCUUUAUUGUGUUCCAC